GAGCCCGGUAGCGCAGUGGUUGUCGCGCCCUCCUCCUUUGGAGGGAGGACGCCGGUUCGAAUCCGGCCCGGCUCG
rnacentral:tRNA from 1 species